rnacentral:tRNA from 1 species
ACCUGGCUGGCUCAGUUGGUGGAGCAUGGGACUCUUGAUUUUGGGAUUGUGGGUUCAAACCCUACAUUGGGUG